CAACAACAAUUUCUUAGCUCUAUCAGGGAAGUGAGGACACAGAAAAAUGCUGCUUCCCAAAUUGGAGAGACAGACAGAUGCAGCUAGUAUGAACCUCCUCCACAGAGAGGAACCAAAAUGGCAAGUGGAUAUUCACAUUUCAAAUUGA
rnacentral:lncRNA from 1 species